UUCCGGUUGAUCCUGCCGGAGGCUACCGCUAUUGGAGUUCGAUUAAGCCAUGCGAGUCGCGAGUCUUAGGGACUCGGCGUACCGCUCAGUAACACGUGGGUAACCUGCCCUAUGCUGGGGGAUAACCUCGGGAAACUGAGAAUAAUACCCCAUAGUUCACCACGCCUGGAACGGUGGGUGGACCAAAGCUCCGGCGGCAUAGGAUGGGCCUGCGGCGUAUCAGGUUGUAGGGGGUGUAAUGUACCCUCUAGCCCUCUACGCGUACGGGUGUUGAGAGACAUCGCCCGGAAAUGGAUUCUGAGACACGAAUCCAGACCCUACGGGGUGCAGCAGGCGCGAAAACUUGGCAAUGCGAGAAAUCGUGACCAGGGAACUCCAAGUGCAUCGGGUAAGACCGAUGCUUUUCUUGACUCUUCAAAGGUCUUGGAAUAAGGGGUGGGUAAGGACGGGGCCAGCCGCCGCGGUAAUACCGGCGCCCCAAGUGGUAGUCGCUUUUAUUGGGCCUAAAACGUCCGUAGCCGGUCUGGUACAUUCGUGGGUAAAUCAACCAGCUCAACUGGUUGAAUUCUGCGAGCACGGCCAGACUUGGGACCGGGAGAGGUGUGGGGUACUCUCAGGGUAGGGGUAAAAUCCUGUCAUCCUGAGAGGACCACCUGUUGCGAAGGCGCCACACUAGAACGGAUCCGACGGUCAGGGACGAAGCCUAGGGGCACGAACCGGAUUAGAUACCCGGGUAGUCCUAGGUGUAAACGCUGUGGACUUGAUGUUGGGGGCGCUCCGAGCGCACUCAGUGUCGAAGCGAAGGUGAUAAGUCCACUGCCUGGGGAGUACGGUCGCAAGGCUGAAACUUAAAGGAAUUGGCGGGGGAGCACCGCAACCUGAGGAUUGUGCGGUUUAAUUGGAUUCAACGCCGG
rnacentral:rRNA from 1 species